rnacentral:rRNA from 1 species
AACGAACGCUGGCGGCAGGCCUAACACAUGCAAGUCGAACGAAGAAUCCGGGCUUAGUGGCGGACGGGCGAGCAACUCGUGGGAACGUGCCCUUCGGUCCGGAAUCUCUCAGGGAACCUCGUGCUAAUACCGAAUAUGCCCUAUGGGGGAAAGAUUCGUCGGGGAUGGGGCGGCCCGCGUUUGCUUAGUUAGUUGGUUGGGGUAAUAUCUCACCAAGGCGACGGUCAGUAGCUGGUCGGGGGGGAGGACCAGCAGCCUUGGAGCUGAGACACGGCCCAAACUCCUACGGGGGGGAGCGGUAUGGAGUCUUACGCAAUGAGGGCAGACCUGACGAAGCCAUGCCGCGUGAGUGAUGAAGGGCUUUGGAUUGUAAAAUUCUUUCGGCGGAGGCGAUAGUGACGGUACCCGCAGAAGAAGCCCCGGCUAACUACGUG